UACGUAGGGUGCGAGCGUUAAUCGGAAUUACUGGGCGUAAAGCGUGCGCAGGCGGUUUCGUAAGCUGGAGGUGAAAUCCCCGGGCUUAACCUGGGAAUGGCCUUCAGGACUGCGAGGCUAGAGUGCGGCAGAGGGAGGUGGAAUUCCACGUGUAGCAGUGAAAUGCGUAGAGAUGUGGAGGAACACCGAUGGCGAAGGCAGCCCCCUGGGCCAGCACUGACGCUCAUGCACGAAAGCGUGGGGAGCAAACAGGAUUAGAAACCCCUGUAGUCC
rnacentral:rRNA from 1 species